GACGAACGCUGGCGGCGUGCUUAACACAUGCAAGUCGAGCGGUAAGGCCCUUUCGGGGGUACACGAGCGGCGAACGGGUGAGUAACACGUGGGUGACCUGCCCUCAGCUCUGGGAUAAGCCUGGGAAACUGGGUCUAAUACUGGAUAUGACUCCACGGUGCAUGUCGUGGGGUGGAAAGCCUUGUGCGGCUGAGGAUGGGCCCGCGGCCUAUCAGCUUGUUGGUGGGGUGANGGCCUACCAAGGCGACGACGGGUAGCCGGCCUGAGAGGGCGGUCGGCCACACUGACACUGACAUACGGGUCAGACUCCUACGGGAGGCAGCAGUCGGGAAUUUUGGGCAAUGGGCAAAAGCCUGACCCAGCAACGCCGCGUGAAGGAUGAAAUCCCUCGGGAUGUAAACUUCGCAAGAACGGGAAGAAUAAGUAGGGGACAAUACCCCCUAUGAUGACGGUACCGUUUGUAAGCUCCGGCUAACUCCGUGCCA
rnacentral:rRNA from 1 species